rnacentral:rRNA from 1 species
GCUCAGAACGAACGCUGGCGGCAGGCUUAACACAUGCAAGUCGAGCGCCCCGCAAGGGGAGCGGCAGACGGGUGAGUAACGCGUGGGAAUCUACCCUUGACUACGGAAUAACGCAGGGAAACUUGUGCUAAUACCGUAUGUGUCCUUCGGGAGAAAGAUUUAUCGGUCAAGGAUGAGCCCGCGUUGGAUUAGCUAGUUGGUGGGGUAAAGGCCUACCAAGGCGACGAUCCAUAGCUGGUCUGAGAGGAUGAUCAGCCACAUUGGGACUGAGACACGGCCCAAACUCCUACGGGAGGCAGCAGUGGGGAAUAUUGGACKAAUGGGCGCAAGCCUGAUCCAGCCAUGCCGCGUGAGUGAUGAAGGCCCUAGGGUUGUAAAGCUCUUUCACCGGAGAAGAUAAUGAC